CCUACGGGUGGCAGCAGUGGGGAAUAUUGCACAAUGGGGGAAACCCUGAUGCAGCGACGCCGCGUGAGUGAAGAAGGAUUUCGGUAUGGAAAGCUCUGUCAGCAGGGAAGCAAAUGACGGUACCUGACCAAGAAGCGCCGGCUAACUACGUGCCAGCAGCCGCGGUAAUAAGGAGGGGGCAAGCGUUAGCCGGAUUUACUGGGUGGAAAGGGAGCGUAGGCGGGAGGGAAAGUCUGGUGUGAAAGGCGGGGGCUCAACCCCCGGACUGCUCUGGAAACUGCCAGGCUGGAGUGCAGGAGAGGUAAGCGGAAUUCCUAGUGUAGCGGUGAAAUGCGUAGAUAUUAGGAGGAACACCAGUGGCGAAGGCGGCUUACUGGACUGUAACUGACGUUGAGGCUCGAAAGCGUGGGGAGCAAACAGGAUUAGAUACCCGGGUAGUC
rnacentral:rRNA from 1 species